CCUACGGGUGGCAGCAGUGAGGAAUAUUGGUCAAUGGACGCAAGUCUGAACCAGCCAUGCCGCGUGCAGGAAGACGGCUCUAUGAGUUGUAAACUGCUUUUGUACGAGGGUAAAUCCCGAUACGUGUAUCGGGAUGACAGUAUCGUACGAAUAAGGCUCGGCUAACUCCGUGCCAGCAGCCGCGGUAAUACGGAGGAUUCAAGCGUUAUCCGGAUUUAUUGGGUUAAAGGGGUGCGCAGGGGGAUUUUUAAGUCAGCGGUCAAAUCGUGGGGCUCAACUGCAACCAGCCGUUGAAACUGGGGAUCUAGAGUGUGCGAGAGGUAGGCGGAAUGCGUGGUGUAGCGGUGAAAUGCAUAGAGAUCACGCAGAACCCCGAUUGCGAAGGCAGCAUACCGGUGCACAACUGACGCUCAGGCACGAAAGCGUGGGUAUCGAACAGGAUUAGAUACCCGGGUAGUC
rnacentral:rRNA from 1 species